rnacentral:rRNA from 1 species
GACGAACGCUGGCGGCGUGCUUAACACAUGCCAGUCGAACGGAAAGGCCCCUUUGGGGGUACUCGAGUGGCGAACGGGUGAGUAACACGUGCGUAACCUGCCCUUGACUUCGGGAUAACUUCAGGAAACUGGGGCUAAUACCGGAUAGGAAUCCUUGCUGCAUGGUGGGGGUUGGAAAGCUUCGGCGGUUUUGGAUGGACUCGCGGCUUAUCAGCUUGUUGGUGGGGUAGUGGCUUACCAAGGCUUUGACGGGUAGCCGGCCUGAGAGGGCGACCGGCCACAUUGGGACUGAGAUACGGCCCAGACUCCUACGGGAGGCAGCAGUGGGGAAUAUUGCACAAUGGGCGGAAGCCUGAUGCAGCAACGCCGCGGGCGGGAGGACGGCCUUCGGGUUGGAAACCGCGUUCAGCAGGGGCGAAGCUUGUGGUGACGGUACCUGCAGAAGAAGCACCGGCUAACUACGUG